rnacentral:rRNA from 1 species
AAUCUUGCGCAAUGGGCGAAAGCCUGACGCAGCCAUGCCGCGUGAAUGAUGAAGGUCUUAGGAUUGUAAAAUUCUUUCGCCGGGGACGAUAAUGACGGUACCCGGAGAAGAAGCACCGGCUAACUUCGUGCCAGCAGCCGCGGUAAUACGAAGGGGGCUAGCGUUGCUCGGAAUUACUGGGCGUAAAGGGCGCGUAGGCGGAUCGUUAAGUCAGGGGUGAAAUCCCGGGGCUCAACCUCGGAAUUGCCCUUGAUACUGGCGAUCUUGAGUAUGAGAGAGGUAUGUGGAACUCCGAGUGUAGAGGUGAAAUUCGUAGAUAUUCGGAAGAACACCAGUGGCGAAGGCGACUUUCUGGUCUGUAACUGACGCUGAGGCGCGAAAGCGUGGGGAGCAAACA